rnacentral:rRNA from 1 species
CAGCCGCCGCGGGAAUACGAAGGGGGCUAGCGUUGUUCGGAAUUACUGGGCGUAAAGCGCACGUAGGCGGAUAUUUAAGUCAGGGGUGAAAUCCCAGAGCUCAACUCUGGAACUGCCUUUGAUACUGGGUAUCUUGAGUAUGGAAGAGGUGAGUGGAAUUCCGAGUGUAGAGGUGAAAUUCGUAGAUAUUCGGAGGAACACCAGUGGCGAAGGCGGCUCACUGGUCCAUUACUGACGCUGAGGUGCGAAAGCGUGGGGAGCAAACAGGAUUAGAUACCCGUGUAGUCCCUGUCUCUUAUAU